AUUGUAAUGAGCCAUGGCAAGUGGAACCAAACUACAUUAAUUCUACAAUGUAGCUGCACUUUCAGAGUCUUUGAUUUAAGAUCCAUUUAAAAGAGCCCUACCUGGCCUAGAUCAGUGAGUGAAAUUUAGGGGAAACCCUGCCUGCCAAACAGGUUCCACUACUACAAGCUUUCCUGUUUGCACAGCUGAGGUUUCUGUGUGUGUUUUGCAGUCGGAAUGGCUCGAACUCCUUUCACUGAGGAGACGGCGAGCUACACCUCCCUCUUCAGAGCAAUUGGAUCAUGUGGUUUGGAAAUGUAUGUUUUAAAAACAAAACCCCAGCUCCUACAAUGGGAAUAAUUAGGUAAAUUGGCAUGGCAGUGUUUUCCUUGCCCGCCUCUUCUCCCCUUAUUCUCUGGAGAGUUUUUGUUUGUUCGCCUGAGCCAAAGCAGGAGACGCAGCCAAGGGAUGCUGAGUCAACUCUGCGCUGGAUGCCGGCUUUGCGUUUUUUUUUUUCUUCUCUUUCUUUCUUUCCUGGGCAGCUGGGGACAGGCUGAGCUCCCAACAAUCAGAAAGCUGACUCAUAGGCUUGCUUUCCCCAGUUUUCAAGCACACUACGCAGCCUCACUAAACCCUGAUUUCUUAUACUGUCAGUUCUUGGUUCUGGCUGCCUCAAGGGCCCCAUUUAAGUCAAAAGGUGAGCCAAAAACCCUAGAGGGUGUUAGAUCCACCCCUUCUGCUUCCUUGUGACCUUCAAGGGAAAGGCUGUGCACACAAGGAAGAACUGUAGCAUUCUCUGCUGCAUGCAGGUGUCGAGGUGGACAGCCAAAUUUGGGCAGCUUUGAAAAAGGAUGGGGCAAAUCCAUAGAGGAUAGGUCAAUCAGAGCUUUGACCUUCCGUCGUCUUCUUGACGGACGCCAUCUGCUACUCUGGAUCUACGGACUGAACUGACUACGGGCUUGGAUUCUCCUUCUGGACUUGGAAAACUGCAAACGUCUGCUUCUGUCUAUCGACCUUCGGAAAGAACUGGGACUACUCUACUGCUUCAAUCCUCGGCUGUUGUGUUUGUAUUGGAAGUUUGCCUGCUGUGUGUAGGAGUGACUUCUAAGUUACUCAAAACAUAGUACUGGCAGCAGAGAGGCAUCUGCUGCCAAUUAGUUACAUUCUUUUGAACUCUUUGUUUCCCAGCUUCUGUUUUGUUUGUUCCCAAGCUGAAGCAAGCUGUUUUGAUUUUACCCGGAUUAAACUCCGGUUUAAUCCGGUUUAUCUUUUGAACGUUUUUCUUGCCCCUUUUUUGCUUUUUGAGGCUAAUGUUGCCUGGCCCUUGUCUUUUACGGGCAUUUUGAGUUCUGUAAAUCCAAUAAACUCUGUUAUCUUUGA